CCGGACCAUGGCAUGCAGCCCAGCUGUGUGUCCAGGAGGGCAUGUGAGAGCCCCAUCCUCCAAAGGACCCUGUUCCAGCUUGUGACAAACCCAGAGGCAAUCCUGGUCAUCCGGAGGAGGAGGUGUCUGUGCCGUUGCUUGGAGCUGACUGUAGGCCUAGAGGCACAGGAUUAUACAGGAUUUCUCCCUCUGAUGCCGAGCCGAAGCUGGAUGGUACUGCUGCCAUCUCGGCUCACUGCAACCUCCCUGCCUGAUUCUCCUGCCUCAGCCUGCCGAGUGCCUGCGAUUGCAGGCGCGCGCCGCCACGCCUGACUGGUUUUCGUAUUUUUUUGGUGAAGACAGGGUUUCGCUGUGUUGGCCGGGCUGGUCUCCAGCUCCUAACCGCGAGUGAUCCGCCAGCCUCGGCCUCCCGAGGUGCCGGGAUUGCAGAUGGAGUCUCGUUCACUCAGUGCUCAACGGUGCCCAGGCUGGAGUGCAGUGGCGUGAUCUCGGCUUGCUACAACCUCCACCUCCCAGCCGCCUGCCUUGGCCUCCCAAAGUGCCGAGAUUGCAGCCUCUGCCCGGCCGCCACCCCGUCUGGGAAGUGAGGAGCGUCUCUGCCUGGCCGCCCAUCGUCGGGGAUGUGAGGAGCCCCUCUGCCUGGCUGCCCAGUCUGGAAAGUGAGGAGCGUCUCUGCCUGGCCGCCAUCCCAUCUAGGAAGUGAGGAGCGCCUCUUCCCGGCCGCCAUCACAUCUGGGAAGUGAGGAGCGUCUCUGCCCGGCCGCCCAUUGUCUGAGAUGUGGGGAGCACCUCUGCCCUGACGCCCCGUCUGGGAUGUGAGGAGCGUCUCUGCCCGGCCGCCCCGUCUGAGAAGUGAGGAGACCCUCUGCCUGGCAACCGC
rnacentral:lncRNA from 10 species